rnacentral:rRNA from 1 species
AGUGAACGCUGGCGGUAGGCCUAACACAUGCAAGUCGAACGGCAGCACAGUAAGAGCUUGCUCUUACGGGUGGCGAGUGGCGGACGGGUGAGGAAUACAUCGGAAUCUACUUUUUCGUGGGGGAUAACGUAGGGACACUUACGCUAAUACCGCAUACGACCUACGGGUGAAAGCAGGGGAUCUUCGGACCUUGCGCGAUUGAAUGAGCCAAUGUCGGAUUAGCUAGUUGGCGGGGUAAAGGCCCACCAAGGCGACGAUCCGUAGCUGGUCUGAGAGGAUGAUCAGCCACACUGGAACUGAGACACGGUCCAGACUCCUACGGGAGGCAGCAGUGGGGAAUAUUGGACAAUGGGCGCAAGCCUGAUCCAGCCAUACCGCGUGGGUGAAGAAGGCCUUCGGGUUGUAAAGCCCUUUUGUUGGGAAAGAAAAGCAGCAGGUUAAUACCCCGCUGUUCUGACGGUACCCAAAGAAUAAGCACCGGCCAACUUCGUG